rnacentral:rRNA from 1 species
UGGGGAAUUUUCCGCAAUGGGCGAAAGCCUGACGGAGCAAUACCGCGUGAGGGAGGAAUGCCUUUGGGUUGUAAACCUCUUUUCUCAGGGAAGAAGAUCUGACGGUACCUGAGGAAUAAGUAUCGGCUAACUCCGUGCCAGCAGCCGCGGUAAUACGGAGGAUGCAAGCGUUAUCCGGAAUCAUUGGGCGUAAAGCGUCCGCAGGUGGUUUCCAAAGUCUGCUGUUAAAGACUGGAGCUCAACUCCGGAACGGCGGUGGAAACUUGGAAACUAGAGUUCGGUAGGGGUAGCAGGAAUUCCCAGUGUAGCGGUGAAAUGCGUAGAUAUUGGGAAGAACAUCGGUGGCGAAGGCGUGCUACUGGACCGUAACUGACACUCAGGGACGAAAGCUAGGGGAGCGAAAGGG